rnacentral:rRNA from 2 species
CGUAAAACUCUGUUGUUAGGGAAGAACAAGUACGAGAGUAACUGCUCGUACCUUGACGGUACCUAACCAGAAAGCCACGGCUAACUACGUGCCAGCAGCCGCGGUAAUACGUAGGUGGCAAGCGUUAUCCGGAAUUAUUGGGCGUAAAGCGCGCGCAGGCGGUUUCUUAAGUCUGAUGUGAAAGCCCACGGCUCAACCGUGGAGGGUCAUUGGAAACUGGGGAACUUGAGUGCAGAAGAGAAAAGCGGAAUUCCACGUGUAGCGGUGAAAUGCGUAGAGAUGUGGAGGAACACCAGUGGCGAAGGCGGCUUUUUGGUCUGUAACUGACGCUCAGGCGCGAAAGCGUGGGGAGCAAACAGGAUUAGAUACCCUGGUAGUCCACGCCGUAAACGAUGAGUGCUAAGUGUUAGAGGGUUUCCGCCCUUUAGUGCUGCAGCUAACGCAUUAAGCACUCCGCCCGGGGAGUACGGUCGCAAGACUGAAACUCAAAGGAAAUUGACAGGGGCCCGCACAAGCGGUGGAGCAUGUGGUUUAAUUCAAAGCAACGCGCAGAACCAUUACAAGGUCUUGACAUCCUCUGACAACUCUAGAGAUAGAAGCGUUCCCCUUCCGGCGGACAAGAGUGACAAGUUGCUGCAUGAUUGUUCGUUCACCUCCCUGACAAGAGAUGUU